GUGGGGAAUUUUGCGCAAUGGGCGAAAGCCUGACGCAGCGACGCCGCGUGGAGGAUGAAGACCCUUGGGUCGUAAACUUCUGUCAGGUGGGAAGAAAUGCACUCGGUCAACACCCGGGUGUCUUGACUGUACCACCAGAGGAAGCCCCGGCUAACUCCGUGCCAGCAGCCGCGGUAAUACGGAGGGGGCAAGCGUUGUUCGGAAUCACUGGGCGUAAAGGGCGUGUAGGCGGCUGACCAAGUCAGGUGUGAAAGCCCUCGGCUCAACCGAGGAACUGCACUUGAUACUGGUCGGCUAGAGUCCGGGAGGGGGUAGCGGAAUUCCCAGUGUAGCGGUGAAAUGCGUAGAUAUUGGGAAGAACACCGGUGGCGAAGGCGGCUACCUGGACCGGAACUGACGCUGAGGCGCGAAAGCCAGGGGAGCGAAUGGG
rnacentral:rRNA from 1 species